rnacentral:rRNA from 1 species
AUACGGAGGAUCCGAGCGUUAUCCGGAUUUAUUGGGUUUAAAGGGUGCGCAGGCGGCCAUUUAAGUCAGCGGUUAAAUCGUGGGGCUCAACCCCAUUCUGCCGUUGAUACUGGGUGGCUUGAUUGCGGUCGAGGUUGGCGGAAUUCGUUGUGUAGCGGUGAAAUGCAUAGAUAUGACGAAGAACACCGAUUGCGUAGGCAGCUGACCAGACCGCAAAUGACGCUCAUGCACGAAAGUGCGGGGAUCGAACAGUAUUAGAUACCCUGGUAGUCCGCACAGUAAACGAUGAAUACUUGUUUUCGGCGAUAUAAUGUCGGAGGCAAAGCGAAAGCGAUAAGUAUUCCACCUGGGGAGUACGCCGGCAACGGUGAAACUCAAAGGAAUUGACGGGG